GAUGAACGCUGGCGGCGUGCCUAAUACAUGCAAGUAGAACGCUGAAGGAGGAGCUUGCUCUUCUGGAUGAGUUGCGAACGGGUGAGUAACGCGUAGGUAACCUGCCUGGUAGCGGGGGAUAACUAUUGGAAACGAUAGCUAAUACCGCAUGACAACAGUUAUUGCAUGAUAACUGUUUAAAAGGGGCAACUGCUCCACUACCAGAUGGACCUGCGUUGUAUUAGCUAGUUGGUGAGGUAACGGCUCACCAAGGCGACGAUACAUAGCCGACCUGAGAGGGGGAUCGGCCACACUGGGACUGAGACACGGCCCAGACUCCUACGGGAGGCAGCAGUAGGGAAUCUUCGGCAAUGGACGGAAGUCUGACCGAGCAACGCCGCGUGAGGGAAGAAGGGUUUCGGAUCGUAAAGCUCUGUUGUAAGAGAAGAACGAGUGUGAGAGUGGAAAGUUCACACUGUGACGGUAUCUUACCAGAAAGGGACGGCUAACUACGUG
rnacentral:rRNA from 1 species